UACGGAGGGUGCAAGCGUUAAUCGGAAUUACUGGGCGUAAAGCGCACGCAGGUGGCUGAGUCAGUCGAUUGUGAAAGCCCUGGGCUUAACCUGGGAAUUGCAGUCGAUACUACUCAGCUAGAGUAUGGGAGAGGGUAGUGGAAUUCCCGGUGUAGCGGUGAAAUGCGUAGAUAUCGGAAGGAACAUCAGUGGCGAAAGCGACUUCCUGGACCAGUACCGACGUCAGGCACGAAAGCGUGGGGAGCAAACAGG
rnacentral:rRNA from 1 species